rnacentral:rRNA from 1 species
GUGCCAGCAGCCGCGGUAAUACGUAGGGUGCAAGCGUUAUCCGGAAUCAUUGGGCGUAAAGCGUUCGUAGGCUGUUUUGUAAGUUCACCGUUAAAUCUGGUCGCUCAACGAUCAACACGUGGUGAAAACUACUUAACUAGAGUUUGGCAGGGGCAACUGGAAUUUCGCAUGUAGGGGUAAAAUCCGUUGAUAUGCGAAGGAACACCAAAAGCGAAGGCAGGUUGCUGGGCCAUUUCUGACGCUGAGGAACGAAAGCGUGGGGAGCAAACAGGAUUAGAUACCCUGGUAGUCCACGCCGUAAACGAUGGAUACUCGGUGUAUGAGGGAAUCGACCCCCUUAUGUACCCAAGCUAACGCGUUAAGUAUCCCGCCUGGGGAGUACGGUCGCAAGAUUAAAACUCAAAAGGAAUAGACGGGGACCCACACAAGCGGUGGAGCAUGUGGUUUAAUUUCGAUAAUAAACGGGG